UACAAGUCAAAAAUAUUAAGAGAUGCCUUGUCCCCUCUGCAAAGGAACGUGGAAAAGUUUCAUAUGGAUGAAGAAUCUAUCUUCAAAAACAGAUAUACAUUAAAAAUCAAUUCUUCCAUUCAUGCUUUCUAUCCCUUUCACAUGGUCAAGAAAUUAAUAAAUUCCACGGCCCCAACACCAGACCACCACUACACCAAGAUUAAUACCUCAAAAGCAGCGGAGUAGAAUAUUAAAAAUCUAUAUACUCUGUGACAAACCUUCCUUCCUUUUUUGGUGACCGUGGUGAGACUUUUUAUCCAGUUGAUCAAAUGAAAGAUGAAGUUAAACAGAGGCUUUUCUUAAUUAACAUAGAUAUAUAUAAAACAUGUUGUGGGUUUACAGCUACGUUAAUUGUGCAGUUCUAGAUAUUCCAAUCUCAAGAAGACCACUUUAUUAUUAGAUAUGUAAUGAAAGGUCCUGCUCCUGCUGCAACUCUUGUUAGAUUAUGUUGGGGCUUUCAACAGAGAUCGGCUUGUAUUAAGCUAGUGUGGUCCUGUUCUCACCAACACCAAACUCAUCAGUUGCUUUCAUCAAAUUACAGACAAAAAAUACAACAAUAUACACAUUACAUACAUACCAUCUUUCAUUUCUGUCAGCUUAUUCACAAAUUCAAAACAUGUCUUCUCUUCAGUGCCUGUUUGCGUUGGCGGGGUGUAGCUUUUCCACCGUUAUUAGAAUAGAAAAGUCUUUUUCUUCAGAGCAAAAGCAUUUUUUUUAUGCGUUUUUCCAAGCUGUAUAAAAGAAAGUGCUUUUCGAAUAUUUUGGCACAAGUUGAAAGACAACUUUUAACCAAGUUUCUUUUCUGUUAACUAAAAUAUCAUCUAUGCACUUCCG
rnacentral:lncRNA from 1 species